rnacentral:rRNA from 1 species
UUAAAGUGGUACGCGAGCUGGGUUCAGAACGUCGUGAGACAGUUCGGUCCCUAUCUGCCGUGGGCGUUGGAAACUUGAGAAGAGCUGCUCCUAGUACGAGAGGACCGGAGUGGACGAACCUCUGGUGUUUGGGUUGUCACGCCAGUGGCACUGCCCAGUAGCUAUGUUCGGAAAGGAUAACCGCUGAAAGCAUCUAAGCGGGAAGCCUCCUUCAAGAUUAGGUUUCCCGGAAGUUUAACUUCCCUGAAGGGCUGUUCAAGACUAGGACGUUGAUAGGUUGGGUGUGGAAGCGCUGUAAGGCGUUGAGCUAACCAAUACUAAUUGCCCGUGAGGCUUGACCAUUUAACACAAGCGAGCGUU